rnacentral:lncRNA from 1 species
GUAGUCUAAUUAAACAGAAGGUGAAAUGGCCGGAGAGGUGGUGACUCCACAUGUUGCCGUAUGGACUCUUACCGCCCUGGUUAGACGGCUCUAAUAAACACAGGGAGCUGCUUUGGCUCAUGUCCUUCCCUGGGUUAUUGAACUGAUGCUGCAGAUGGUGUGGGGUGGCACAUAGACAGAAAAGCUGUUCUGAUGGGAAUGUUGCUUGUUUGGUCCCGCAGCUGAACCACCUGGUGACGGAGCAGCUGGUAAAGUGCGGCGUCCCAACGGUGGGCAUUUCGGUAAGGGGCAUCCCGUAUUUGUCUUCUCUGCUCUCUAGAGGCUGGUAGAGCUGCUGGCUGUGAACUGUAAGGAUCCUGAUUUGAAUCCCAGGAGGGGCAGCAUGAAGGACAUACUUACACUGUGAGUCUGGCCACCGGAGAGAAGACUCUGAGAACUGGUUAAUUCUUCUGUAGUGUCUGGCCACCUAGUUGUCAGACACAACACAGGGAAUCCAGAGGUUAACAGGUGUAACAUGGCCUUAGAAUGAAGCUGUGGAUUCUGCAUGCUUGAAUGCCUGCAAGGUUUCUGACUGGGGCGAGGGGGAGGGGAGAAGCACCCAGCUGGGGGAUGCUGUUAGAUCAUGACAGGGAUCAACAUAAGCCAUUGGCCAACAUGGUGUCUGUCUUGCAGCCCUUUGGCGUCUGGAGGACAGCAGGCAAGAAAGUCAGCCAGGCUGGCAUUUCUGCCAUAAGGGAUGCCUUGGAUGCUGGCUACAUCCCGGUCAUGCAUGGGGACUGUGCUCUGGACUCUGAACAGCACUGCUGUAUCUUAUCAGGGGAUGCUAUCAUCGAGGUUCUGUCCAGGGAAUUCUCCCCCCAGCGAGUGGUUUUCUUGACCGAUGUCAGUGGAAUCUAUGACCGU